rnacentral:rRNA from 1 species
AGUUUGAUCCUGGCUCAGAUUGAACGCUAGCGGAAUGCCUUACACAUGCAAGUCGAACGGCAGCACGGACUUCGGUCUGGUGGCGAGUGGCGAACGGGUGAGUAAUGUAUCGGAACGUACCCAGUAGCGGGGGAUAACUACUCGAAAGAGUAGCUAAUACCGCAUACGCCCUGCGGGGGAAAGGGGGGGAUCUUCGGACCUCCCACUAUUGGAGCGGCUGAUAUCGGAUUAGCUAGUUGGUGAGGUAAAGGCUCACCAAGGCGACGAUCCGUAGCUGGUUUGAGAGGACGACCAGCCACACUGGAACUGAGACACGGUCCAGACUCCUACGGGAGGCAGCAGUGGGGAAUUUUGGACAAUGGGGGAAACCCUGAUCCAGCAAUGCCGCGUGAGUGAAGAAGGCCUUCGGGUUGUAAAGCUCUUUUGUCAGGGAAGAAACGGUUGGGGCUAAUAUCCCCGGCUAAUGACGGUACCUGAAGAAUAAGCACCGGCUAACUACGUGCCAGCAGCCGCGGUAA